GGGGGGUAUUCCAGAAAGCAGGUUAUGUGACAUACCUGGGUAUGUUUAAGGGUAAUAUGUGAGGCAACCCAAAUCAUUACCAAUGUCGAGGCAAAAUGGCCAGGAUCUGUGCAUGAUGCCAGAAUUUUCCGCAAGUCAUCAUUAUGCCAAACAUUUCAGCAGGGACAGUACAAUGGUUACUUGCUGGGGGACAGAGGAUACCCUUGUCUGCCCUAUUUAAUGACACCCUACCCUGAACCUGAGCCUGGACCACAGACACGGCUCACAGCCGAACACGGGCCAAGGUGGAGAUGACUAUAGGGAUCGUCAAAUCUUGGUUUCAGUGUCUGCGUGGGCUCCGGGUUAGUCCAGAGAGGGCAUGCGACAUUUUAGUGGCUUGUGUUGUGCUUCACAAUAUUGCCACUAUAAGAGGAGAGUGCCACCCUCCUUGUAUUGAGGAAGAUGGCCCAGAGGAACACCUACAGAUUUUAGAGGCCAGC